GCUAAUAUAAUUUAAAUUAGAAUAUUAAUUUGUGAUAUUAAAAGUGUAUUUUUUUACUUUUAGCA
rnacentral:tRNA from 1 species